UGACUGUGUAUAUGAGCACCAUUGAAGGGAGACAGGGUUCUACUCAGGGAAUGCAUCCACUUCUUCUGAAAAUACCGAAUUAUGGUCUCUCUCCCUCCCGUGGAUUCAAAAGAUGGGAAAACGAUGGAGAGCAAUGAUCUACCAUCCAGAUUUGAAGCCUUUUAGAUUUUUGGUCUACUUGCUACAAUUCACACAGUUUCUGGAGGCUCCCGGCACCGGCUAUAGUGCUGGGGCACAAAGCAUUUUCCCACUAAAAUCGUG
rnacentral:lncRNA from 1 species